CUGAGGGCAAGGGGGUAAGAGCUGCUGCUGCUGCUGCUAAUCUGUGGAGUGGGAGCUUCACACUGUCCAUUAGUGAUUUACACUUCUAUGUCAGGCUCUUCAGGAAGAAUUCUUAAAGCACACUGGGAAGCCAUGGUUGGAGGAUCAGUGAGAUAGGGAUGUGUUGUUCUCUCUACAUGUACCAGGAAAACGUAAAGCAGCUGAUAUGACAAUGGCUAAAAAUCACCUCCACAGUCUGUUCAGCCAGUUCUGAGGUGCUGAUCACAUGGGUAUUAGCUGGAUCAAAAUCACAUAAUGCAGAAAGUUCAAAUUAUCCAUUGAGCACGGCCUUCCUCACACACACUGAUUCACAGAGCUUGGUAAAUUUUAGCACAAGUGGGAAAGAAAUCUCAGCUGAAAACAGCAUUUUCCAUCCUAUGAGGCUUCAUCAAAGGGGAAAAAAACAACCUUGCAAUGUUUCCUUGGUUGUUACAGAAUUUGGUAGUUGCACAGUGCUCCAGCAGAGACGUACCAACCUAACAAAUAAAGUGUUUGCAUUGUUCAGAUGCUAAGCUACCACCAUCCUUAUGAUUUGAAGACUGGUAAACAAAACAUUGUUUGGAAAAGGCCAGGCGGGCCUCCAGCUUGGCAAAGGUAAUAAAGCAU